CUAAAAUGGGGAAAAUACCAAGUUAUGGACGAAAUGGUAAAAGUAGCCAUUUUUGCAUACGAGUUUUGACAAGCCAGCUCAGAAAUCGGGAACGGGCUCGCUCACACUAUCCGUAUACCAUCUUGGCAAAAUGGCUUGUAUAUUUUGAGUAUGGCAUGUAUAGCAUUAUAAUCAUUUUGUAUAUAUGGUCUUAUGAUAUGGUUAUUGAGUGGUAUGGAAA